rnacentral:rRNA from 1 species
GUGCACCAGGCGAGAAUUUUUCUCAAUGGGGGCAACCCUGAAGGAGCGACGCCGCGUGGGGGAUGAAGGCUUUCGGGUUGUAAACUCCUGUCAUUUGAGAACAAGGGUAAGCAAAUAACUACUGCUUAUUUAAUAGUAUCAGAAGAGGAAGGGACGGCUAACUCUGUGCCAGCAGCCGCGGUAAUACAGAGGUCCCAAGCGUUGUUCGGAUUCAUUGGGCGUAAAGGGUGCGUAGGUGGCGCCGUAAGUGGGGUGUGAAAUUUCGGAGCUUAACUUCGAAACUGCAUUCCAUACUGCGGUGCUUGAGGACUGGAGAGGAGACUGGAAUUUACGGUGUAGCAGUGAAAUGCGUAGAGAUCGUAAGGAAGACCAGUGGCGAAGGCGGGUCUCUGGACAGUUCCUGACACUGAGGCACGAAGGCUAGGGGAGCAAACGGGAUUAGAUACCCGCGUAGU